rnacentral:rRNA from 1 species
UGGGAAGUAUUGGACAAUGGGCGAAAGCCUGAUCCAGUCAUGCCGCGUGUGUGAAGAAGGUCUUCGGAUUGUAAAGCACUUUAAGUUGGGAGGAAGGGCAGUAAGUUAAUACCUUGCUGUUUUGACGUUACCAACAGAAUAAGCACCGGCUAACUUCGUGCCAGCAGCCGCGGUAAUACGAAGGGUGCAAGCGUUAAUCGGAAUUACUGGGCGUAAAGCGCGCGUAGGUGGUUUGGUAAGAUGGAUGUGAAAUCCCGGCGCACCUAGGCACUGGCAUCCAUGAACUAGCCUGACUAGAGUACGGUAGAGGGUGGUGGAAUUUCCUGUGUAGCGGUGAAAUGCGUUAGAUAUAGGAAGGAACACCAGUGGCGAAGGCGACCACCUGGACUGAUACUGACACUGAGGUGC